rnacentral:rRNA from 1 species
UGGGGAAUAUUGCACAAUGGGCGCAAGCCUGAUGCAGCCAUGCCGCGUGUGUGAAGAAGGCCUUCGGGUUGUAAAGCACUUUCAGCGGGGAGGAAGGCGGUGAGGUUAAUAACCUCAUCGAUUGACGUUACCCGCAGAAGAAGCACCGGCUAACUCCGUGCCAGCAGCCGCGGUAAUACGGAGGGUGCAAGCGUUAAUCGGAAUUACUGGGCGUAAAGCGCACGCAGGCGGUCUGUCAAGUCGGAUGUGAAAUCCCCGGGCUCAACCUGGGAACUGCAUUCGAAACUGGCAGGCUAGAGUCUUGUAGAGGGAGGUAGAAUUCCAGGUGUAGCGGUGAAAUGCGUAGAGAUCUGGAGGAAUACCGGUGGCGAAGGCGGCCCCCUGGACAAAGACUGACGCUCAGGUGCGAAAGUGUGGGGAGCAAACAGG